CCCAACCCUCUUUCACAAUAUCACCACGCCUCCAACACAGUCAACCAGAUCCAUAUCCUUAUGCCCUCAUCUACUAACACCACACCACAUUACAUCAUACCCUACCCAAUUACGAUCACCCACUCUGAUAAACUUACUCCGUCUGCUACAGGUACUCAAGUGCCAUCGGAACUCAUGAACGCUCAACAUUUUUCGGUCACCUUGUCACCGCCAAUGCAAGGUAAUGACUCAUCCAUAGCUAUAAAACCCAAUAAUCCCAUCCAUACAUCACCACAUCUGCUAUCUUCUUCACCCAACACUCCUCUUUCUACUAACAAUGCAUCGCCACUACCCUCCAAGACAUUGCCACCACAAGAACAGGAACCAUGUACCUCACAUCCAGAUCAACAACUACCACCUUUCACCUCCACACUUUCACUACCUCUCUCACAGCCCCUCCUACUGGGUGCCCCAAUAUCACCGCCACCCCCUUUCAACCUUGUACCACUACCACCACCAGAACAUCCUCUAGUGCACCUGCCGUUAAACCUUCUCUUAUUCCAGCAACAAGUCACGACAAUACUAGACCACAACGACCUACUGAUGACGUUUAUCUAGGAUGGACUACCAGACAUCCAUCAGCAGGAUCAUGCUAUGCAAAUCCUCCAUCUAUAGGAUGUUGCCGCUUUGGAACUCAACAACCAACUUACUUAAGCUCAGCAAUAUUUCCUCCACUUCAACUACUGCCGCCAACUUUGAAUAUACCCCCACUUCCAUAAUUCUAGCCCUAUUACAAUGGCCAGCCUCAACACGUAUUCCUAGAAAUGAUGCACCACGCUCCACCAUAGCUGGACAUCCCUCCGCGACCACUGACUCUGCCUCCAUCACCACCAUUAGCCACGCCAUCAUCGGACAUUGAAGACGAAGAUCAGAACCAUCAGUCUCUACAUUACACAUUUAUGGAGAGACUGAAUCUGAACAACCUCUCACUCUUUCCAUGCAAGAAAACAUCGAAAGAAGGUACUUGAUUUUGGAUCCUCCAAUGUUGGAGAUGACCUUCUUGAAUAUCCACCUCGACCCUUACUCUGUGGACCAGAAGUAUGUCAUCUUCUUGAUACCAACACUGCGUCCACCACCACUACCUCA
rnacentral:lncRNA from 1 species